AGCAGCCGCGGUAAUUUCAGCUCCAAUAGCGUAUAUUAAAGUUGUUGCAGUUAAAAAGCUCGUAGUUGAAUUUCGAGACCGGUUUACUGGUCGUGCUUUUGUACGUACUGGUAUUAUUGGUUUCUCCUUUCUGACGAAUCAUAAUGCCAUUAAUUUGGUGUUUUGGGGAAUCAGGACUGUUACUUUGAAAAAAUUAGAGUGUUUAAAGCAGGCUCACGCUUGAAUACAUUAGCAUGGAAUAACGAAAUAGGACGUUUGAUUUUAUUUUGUUGGUUUCUAGGAUCGACGUAAUGAUUAAUAGGGAUAGUUGGGGGCAUUAGUAUUCAAUUGUCAGAGGUGAAAUUCUUGGAUUUAUUGAAGACUAACUACUGCGAAAGCAUUUGCCAAGGAUGUUUUCAUUAAUCAAGAACGAAAGUUAGGGGAUCGAAGACGAUCAGAUACCGUCGUAGUCUUAACCAUAAACUAUGCCGACUAGGGAUCGGAUGAUGUUAAUUUUUAAUGACUCAUUCGGCGCCUUACG
rnacentral:rRNA from 1 species